AGAGUUUGAUCUUGGCUCAGGACGAACGCUGGCGGCGUGCCUAAUACAUGCAAGUCGAGCGGACAGAUGGGAGCUUGCUCCCUGAUGUUAGCGGCGGACGGGUGAGUAACACGUGGGUAACCUGCCUGUAAGACUGGGAUAACUCCGGGAAACCGGGGCUAAUACCGGAUGCUUGUUUGAACCGCAUGGUUCAGACAUAAAAGGUGGCUUCGGCUACCACUUACAGAUGGACCCGCGGCGCAUUAGCUAGUUGGUGAGGUAACGGCUCACCAAGGCAACGAUGCGUAGCCGACCUGAGAGGGUGAUCGGCCACACUGGGACGGAGACACGGCCCAGACUCCUACGGGAGGCAGCAGUAGGGAAUCUUCCGCAAUGGACGAAAGUCUGACGGAGCAACGCCGCGUGAGUGAUGAAGGUUUUCGGAUCGUAAAGCUCUGUUGUUAGGGAAGAACAAGUGCCGUUCAAAUAGGGCGGCACCUUGACGGUACCUAACCAGAAAGCCACGGCUAACUACGUGCCAGCAGCCGCGGUAAUACGUAGGUGGCAAGCGUUGUCCGGAAUUAUUGGGCGUAAAGGGCUCGCAGGCGGUUUCUUAAGUCUGAUGUGAAAGCCCCCGGCUCAACCGGGGAGGGUCAUUGGAAACUGGGGAACUUGAGUGCAGAAGAGGAGAGUGGAAUUCCACGUGUAGCGGUGAAAUGCGUAGAGAUGUGGAGGAACACCAGUGGCGAAGGCGACUCUCUGGUCUGUAACUGACGCUGAGGAGCGAAAGCGUGGGGAGCGAACAGGAUUAGAUACCCUGGUAGUCCACGCCGUAAACGAUGAGUGCUAAGUGUUAGGGGGUUUCCGCCCCUUAGUGCUGCAGCUAACGCAUUAAGCACUCCGCCUGGGGAGUACGGUCGCAAGACUGAAACUCAAAGGAAUUGACGGGGGCCCGCACAAGCGGUGGAGCAUGUGGUUUAAUUCGAAGCAACGCGAAGAACCUUACCAGGUCUUGACAUCCUCUGAAAUCCUAGAGAUAGGACGUCCCCUUCGGGGGCAGAGUGACAGGUGGUGCAUGGUUGUCGUCAGCUCGUGUCGUGAGAUGUUGGGUUAAGUCCCGCAACGAGCGCAACCCUUGAUCUUAGUUGCCAGCAUUCAGUUGGGCACUCUAAGGUGACUGCCGGUGACAAACCGGAGGAAGGUGGGGAUGACGUCAAAUCAUCAUGCCCCUUAUGACCUGGGCUACACACGUGCUACAAUGGACAGAACAAAGGGCAGCGAAACCGCGAGGUUAAGCCAAUCCCACAAAUCUGUUCUCAGUUCGGAUCGCAGUCUGCAACUCGACUGCGUGAAGCUGGAAUCGCUAGUAAUCGCGGAUCAGCAUGCCGCGGUGAAUACGUUCCCGGGCCUUGUACACACCGCCCGUCACACCACGAGAGUUUGUAACACCCGAAGUCGGUGAGGUAACCUUUAUGGAGCCAGCCGCCGAAGGUGGGACAGAUGAUUGGGGUGAAGUCGUAACAAGGUAUCCGU
rnacentral:rRNA from 1 species